rnacentral:rRNA from 1 species
GACGAACGCUGGCGGCGUGCUUAACACAUGCAAGUCGAGCGGUAAGGCCCCUUCGGGGGUACGACGAGCGGCGAACGGGUGAGUAACACGUGGGUGACCUGCCCUCAGCUCUGGGAUAAGCCUGGGAAACCGGGUCUAAUACUGGAUAUGACUCCAUGACGCAUGUUGUGGGGUGGAAAGCCUUGUGCGGCUGAGGAUGGGCCCGCGGCCUAUCAGCUUGUUGGUGGGGUGAGGCCUACCAAGGCGACGACGGGUAGCCGGCCUGAGAGGGCGACCGGCCACACUGGGACUGAGACACGGCCCAGACUCCUACGGGAGGGCAGCAGUGGGGAAGUCUUGCGCAAUGGGCGAAAGCCUGACGCAGCGACGCCGCGUGAGGGAUGACGGCC